UGUUUUUGGUCCCAAGGCUCGC
rnacentral:snRNA from 1 species